rnacentral:rRNA from 1 species
UCACUGCUAUUGGGAUCCGAUUAAGCCAUGCGAGUCGAGAGGGUUCGGCCCUCGGCAGACUGCUCAGUAACACGUGGAUAACCUAACCUUAGGUGGAAGAUAACCUCGGGAAACUGAGAAUAAUAUUCCAUAGGUCUAGGAUGCUGGAAUGCACCUAGGCUCAAAACUCCGGUGCCAUAGGAUGAGUCUGCGGACUAUCAGGUUGUAGUCAGGGUAAAGACCUGACUAGCCUACGACGGAUAUGGGUUGUGAGAGCAAUAACCCAGAGAUGAUAUCUGAGACACGAUAUCAGGCCCUACGGGGCGCAGCAGGCGCGAAAACUUCACAAUGUGCGAAAGCGCGAUGAGGGAAUCCCAAGUGCUUGCACGUAAGUGUAAGCUGUUUUUAUGUUUAAAACGCAUGGAGAGUAAGAGCUGGGUAAGACGGGUGCCAGCCGCCGCGGUAAUACCUGCAGCUCAAGUGGUGGCCACUAUUAUUGGGGCUAAAACGUCCGUAGCCUGUUUAAUAAAUGCCUGGGUAAAUCGUGUAGCUUAACUAUACGAAUUCCGGGUAGACUGUUAAAUUUGAGACCGGGAGAAGUUAGAGGAACUCCUGGGGUAGAGGUGAAAUUCUGUAAUCCUAGGGGGACCACCGGUGGCGAAGGCGUCUGACUAGAACGGGUCUGACGGUGAGGGACGAAGCCCUGGGGCGCAAACCGGAUUAGAUACCCGGGUAGUCCAGGGUGUAAACGCUGCUUGCUUGAUGUUAGUCGGGCUCCGAGCCCGAUUAGUGUCGGAGAGAAGUUGUUAAGCAAGCUGCCUGGGAAGUACGGUCGCAAGGCUGAAAC